GUUUAACACAUGCAAGUUGAAAGAAGAGCAUUGUUUGAAUUCUUCGGAAGGAAGAUAAUGUGAAGAGUGGCGGACGGGUGAGUAACGCGUGGGUAACCUGCCAUGUACAGGGGGACAACAGUUGGAAACGGCUGCUAAUGCCGCAUAAGCGCACGAGAUUGCAUGAUCUAGUGUGAAAAACUCCGGUGGUAUAUGAUGGACCCGCGUCUGAUUAGCUAGUUGGUAAGGUAACGGCUUACCAAGGCGACGAUCAGUAGCCGACCUCAGAGGGUGACCGGCCACAUUGGGACUGAGACACGGCCCAGACUCUUACGGGAGGCAGCAGUGGGGAAAGUGCACAAUGGGCGAAAGCCUGAUGCAGCGACGCCGCGUGAACGAAGAAGUAUUUCGGUAUGUAAAGUUCUAUCAGCAGGGAAGAAGAAAUGACGGUACCUGACUAAGAAGCCCCGGCUAAUUACGUGCCAGCAGCCGCGGUAAUACGUAGGGGGCAAGCGUUAUCCGGAUUUACUGGGUGUAAAGGGAGCGCAGGCGGCCCGGCAAGUCUGAUGUGAAAACCCAAGGCUCAACCAUGGGAUUGCAUUGGAAACUGUCGAUCUAGAGUAUCGGAGGGGUAAGUGGAAUUCCUAGUGUAGCGGUGAAAUGCGUAGAUAUUAGGAGGAACACCAGUGGCGAAGGCGGCUUACUGGACG
rnacentral:rRNA from 1 species